rfam:Spinacia oleracea cultivar SynViroflay scaffold31821.con0003.1, whole genome shotgun sequence.
UGCAAUCUGUGAUGAUUAUUUUUGUCUAUAUAUCCUGAUUUAUCAGUGAAGAUCUUAUAAAUUAUCACCAUCUUUCGGCUGAGAUUGCU